GGGAGAAAGGGAUGAGGAUGUUGGAUAAGCAGCUCAGCAUGUUCCCCAACAUGUAAGGGAAUCAGGUCGAGUUCUACACUCUCCUUCUUGGUACACAUCCUCAGAAUGCAGGAAGUGCCUGUGCUUGCUGUGAGUCUUUGUGGACAGAGGCAGGAUCAUGCUGGCUAGAAUCUAGUGGACAAGGGCAGCACAUUCCCCCUGUUCCCAGGUGGGUCCAGAGAUGUCGCCUGGGAGCCAGGGCCUGGAGUUCUGUUACUGUGGCUGAGCUUGCACCCAAGCUACAAGAUGACAUCCUACUCUUCCCUCACCUUUCUACAAGUAGAGGAGUCUCUUCUCAUGGCCACCAUUGUCCCAGGAUGUGAGGUCUGGAACAGCUGCAGCCAUUUUGCCACCAUGGGAAACCUGGGACAUCUGAACUGACUCCAUGAAGCCUGAAGAGAAAGCUAAUAAGAAGGCAGAGAGAAGAGGAAGAGUCUUGGUCUUUGGAAAUAUCUUUUGGAGCUGCUGGAUCAAGUAUCACUUGAAGGUAAGAAAACUGAAGUUCAGAAAAGGGAGGGGACUGACUCAAUCCCAGCUGCUGGCAGAUCUGGGACUGCAAACCAGCCUUCCAUUGCUCCACACAGGUGUCUCUUCUCACGUGGAAUCACAGCAUUGGAUGGACUGAAAAGAGGAAGAGGCUGCAAUGGAGCAGCACACCUGGUGCGUGGGGAUGCCUGGAAAACAAAAUUAGGAGAGCCCUGGGUCAGCAUUGCUCUGGCACUGGCUGGGCCGGGGGCCAUCCUGAUUCUAGAAUUAUCUUGGUUCCUGGGAUAGAAAUGUCCCCAGAGUGGAGAAGUUCAGUUCAAUCCAACAUCCUUAUAUUGCAAUGAGGAUAAAGACCACAGACCCUAUGGCCUGUAUGACCCAGCUGCCCAUUUCUAGGAACCCAUUCCUACAGAAAUGACAACAUGCGUGUGCAAACAGCAACAAUGACAAACAUACCCUGGGAUGCUUUCCCUCUGUGGUUUGUUAUAGUAAGAUAGCGGCUACAGCUUAUAUAUCAUCAACAGAGGACUGGCUAAAUGAUGGCACUUCAUUCUGCAGAAUCUUUUUUUGUAGUCAAAAAGAACAAGUUAGAUCUAUAUGUGUGAACAUGGAAAGGUGUACAUGACUUAAGUAGAAAAAUUAAGUUGCAGAACGA
rnacentral:lncRNA from 1 species